GAUGAACGCUGGCGGCGUGCCUAAUACAUGCAAGUCGAGCGAACGGACGAGAAGCUUGCUUUUCUGAUGUUAGCGGCGGACGGGUGAGUAACACGUGGAUAACCUACCUAUAAGACUGGGAUAACUUCGGGGAACCGGAGCUAAUACCGGAUAAUAUUUUGAACCGCAUGGUUCAAAAGUGAAAGACGGUCUUGCUGUCACUUAUAGAUGGAUCCGCGCUGCAUUAGCUAGUUGGUAAGGUAACGGCUUACCAAGGCAACGAUGCAUAGCCGACCUGAGAGGGUGAUCGGCCACACUGGAACUGAGACACGGUCCAGACUCCUACGGGAGGCAGCAGUAGGGAAUCUUUCGCAAAGGGCGAAAGCCUGACGGAGCAACGCCGCGUGAGUGAUGAAGGUCUUCGGAUCGUAAAACUCUGUUAUUAGGGAAGAACAUAUGUGUAAGUAACUGUGCACAUCUUGACGGUACCUAAUCAGAAAGCCACGGCUAACUACGUG
rnacentral:rRNA from 1 species